AGACUAUGGGGAAUUAAACACGUUCAGUUUUCAAUUCUGGGUGGAUGUCAGUCAGCUGCAAACACAUACCAGCAAUUUAGACUAUGGGGAAUUAAACACGUUCAGUUUUCAAUUCUGGGUGGAUGUCAGUCAGCUGCAAACACAUACCAGCAAUUUAGACUAUGGGGAAUUAAACACGUUCAGUUUUCAAUUCUG